rnacentral:rRNA from 1 species
AUUUGAGAGGAGCUGUCCUUAGUACGAGAGGACCGGGAUGGACGGACCGCUGGUGUAUCUGUUGGGUACCAAGCCCAUGGCAGAGUAGCCAAGUCUGGACGGGAUAAACGCUGAAGGCAUCUAAGCGUGAAGCCCCCCUCAAGAUGAGAUAUCCCAUAGCGUAAGCUAGUAAGACCCCUUGAAGACGACGAGGUAGAUAGGUUAGAGGUGGAAGUGCAGUAAUGUAUGGAGCUGACUAAUACUAAUCGGUCGAGGGCUUAACCA